UACGGAGGGGGCUAGCGUUGCUCGGAAUCACUGGGCGUAAAGCGCACGUAGGCGGCUUUUUAAGUCAGGGGUGAAAUCCUGGAGCUCAACUCCAGAACUGCCUUUGAUACUGAGAGGCUCGAGUCCGGGAGAGGUGAGUGGAACUGCGAGUGUAGAGGUGAAAUUCGUAGAUAUUCGCAAGAACACCAGUGGCGAAGGCGGCUCACUGGCCCGGUACUGACGCUGAGGUGCGAAAGCGUGGGGAGCAAACAGG
rnacentral:rRNA from 1 species